AACGAACGCUGGCGGCAGGCUUAACACAUGCAAGUCGAGCGCCCCGCAAGGGGAGCGGCAGACGGGUGAGUAACGCGUGGGAAUCUACCCAUCUCUACGGAAUAACGCAUGGAAACGUGUGCUAAUACCGUAUACGUCCUUCGGGAGAAAGAUUUAUCGGAGAUGGAUGAGCCCGCGUUGGAUUAGCUAGUUGGUGGGGUAAAGGCAUACCAAGGCGACGAUCCAUAGCUGGUCUGAGAGGAUGAUCAGCCACACUGGGACUGAGACACGGCCCAUACUCCGACGGGAGGCAGCAGUGGGGAAUAUUGGACAAUGGGCGCAAGCCUGAUCCAGCCAUGCCACGUGAGUGAUGAAGGACCUAGGGUUGUAAAUCUCUUUCACCGGUGAAGAUAAUGACGGUAACCGGAGAAGAAGCCCCGGCUAACUUCGUGCCAGCCGCCGCGGUAACAC
rnacentral:rRNA from 1 species